UACGUAGGGUGCAAGCGUUGUCCGGAAUUAUUGGGCGUAAAGAGCUUGUAGGCGGUUUGUCGCGUCUGCUGUGAAAUUUCGGGGCUCAACCCCGAACUUGCAGUGGGUACGGGCAGACUAGAGUAUUGCAGGGGAGACUGGAAUUCCUGGUGUAGCGGUGGAAUGCGCAGAUAUCAGGAGGAACACCGGUGGCGAAGGCGGGUCUCUGGGCCGUUACUGACGCUGAGGAGCGAAAGCGUGGGGAGCGAACAGG
rnacentral:rRNA from 1 species